UGGUUGGAAACAAGUGCAUUAACACCAAUCACCGUCAGGAAAUAGGUGAAGGUAACCUCCAACAGGUUCUCCAACGAACAACGAAGGCCUCUUACGGUUUUACCACCUCGUUUCAACAAGCAAAUCAAAGUGAAGCAUUCUAACGAACGAGCGAACACUUUUCCGUCCCUAUAACCGAGAACGACAACUCGCAAACAGCAACAACGACAACACUAAUCGCCUUCUCAAGUGUUUUUUCGCUUCGAUUCGUGUCCUUCGACUCAACAGUUGUUCAAUCAUCUCGCGUUCGACGACGUUGCCCCAGUAAAAUUGUUGUGCACAAGCUAGCCCCUCGGACGACCCAGAAACAGCUUUGACAGUAAUUUGAUAACAGUGAUAAGGAGGCGUCGCGACGCCGCAUAUUCGAGAUAGGUUGUCAGAAAAUUUUGCAAGUCAUUAUUAACAAUCGUCAUUGUAGAGUACCAGCACGUUUCAAGUAUUAUAUUUAAAGAUCUUUAUUUGCCAAAUUAAUAAACAAUAUUUGUAUAGUUCUAGUUGAAAACGGAGCGUAUUAACCGAAGUUUGGUUCGUGAAAUACAAAUUGUAGUAGGAGAUUAAAUUGUAAGCAUAAAAUUAUCUAACUUGAAUUCAAUUACUAACAUGCCAAUAAAUUGCAGUUUGAGCUUGAAGCAAUAUAAAACCGGCGUUAUUCUUGCUGAAAAACUCCAGGAUCAAUUUCACGAACAAACUCAAAAAUUUAUCCAGAAGUACCAUGGCUUCCAACCAGCAUCAGCGGCAAACCCGAUCGCAGACUAAGGCAAUUCGAGAGGCAAUGAAAGCUAACCUACAAAUUGCAUCGUCCCACGCCUCUGAGAAUUGCGGUAUACUCUUCGAGGCUACUUUCGUUGAGGCAAAUCGAGGUCACGAGCGGGACUGUAUUUCUUGCGAUCAACGGAAUGAUGCUGAUAAAUUCAUGGUUCAGUGUAUGGGUUGCCAAGGAUGGGAACAUUUCAAGUGUGCCGGUGUAACUACUGCCAACGCCCACGAGAUAGCGUAUCGGUGCGUGAUGUGCAGGCCCCGGAUCCCUCCACCAGCACCUAGUUCAAUCACGGCUGAAUCCACAGCUAGCAGCUCUCGUCGAGCUCGUAUAGCUCGUGAUUUGGAACGGUUGGAAGAAGAGCGGAAGCUGCACGAAACAGCAGCCAAGGCGCAGAUGGAUCGAGAUAAAACUUAUCUAAACAAAAAAUAUAAACUGCUUGAACAGCAGGAUGAAGAGAAUGAAAGAGAUAGUGCUCGGAGUAAACGCAGUAGUCAAGCCGGAUCCUGCCGGGUAACAGAUUGGGUUAAGGAUCAGUCAAGAACCGUUGAAAGAUCCAACCGGGACGUCGUUACAAUGCCGUCAGAAUCUGCCAAGGCCAUUGAUUCCGGGAGAGCAGUUGAACCUACGCUAGUGAGCCAGCUUGGUGGCCCUCAAACGUCGACCCCAUUAACAAAACCCAUCGAAAGUGAGGAGAAAACUCCCGCAGCAGUUGUUCUUGAUCUGGCUAGUUGGAUUGUGGAUUUAGAUCGCACAUCCCUGCAACGAACAACCGGCAGUAUUUCCGUAGGAGAGUGUCAGGACAAUGAGUCUGCUGCUACCGACGAUGCCGCUAGAAUCCCGUUAGUUGACAUACAACCUUUUCUACGUCUUCUAAAGGAUGUGGAAUCCAACGAUCAAAGAACUGGAGCCUAUCCGAAGCCAUCCCAACCUACAUUCGACAAGUGGCGGCUUGAAAUCGACAACCUUCGUCGUGUACAAAAUUUACAACAACAACAUGCCCAGGAAAACGAUAUUCGUCGAAAGCGUGAAAUCGAAUUGAUGCAGCAGUUGAAGUUAGUUGAACAACAACGACGCGCGGAUGCGGAGGAAAUGCAGAAACGGGAAGCGGAGUAUCGUAGGCAAAUACGAUCUCAGGAAGAAGAGCGUAUCGAACAUCGGAAGCAAACAGAGAGAGCGCUGGAAGAGCGUGAUCGUGAAUUGAGUCGAUUGCGUCUUGUUGAACAGCAACUUAUGAGUCGGCUAAAUCAAUUUUCUCAACCCAACAAGACUUUAUCACCGGAAAUGAACAUCGGACCUGUGUAUUACCAGAAUUGUCAACCAGCGGCAGGUAACAAUACCCUCCCCCAAAACGAUGCACCAUCGGUAAGUGAAUUAUUUACACAACAUAAUCCCUUUGAAAAACCUAUCAAUGCAUCGAUGUAUGAAAAUAUAAGCACACCCAUCGGGAGAAGAACCCCCUGUUACGAUUUCCCUGAAGUUACACCACCCAUGCUACCUCAGCAACCACCAUAUCCUCCCACUCCAGUUGCCCCUAUUGUGAAUCCAUCGUAUGAAACAAACCACGUUCGUGACCACCUUUCCGGGCCAACAUCGCAGCAGUUAGCAGCCCGCCACGUGGGGAGGAAAGAACUUCCUGUGUUUAGCGGAGAUCCUGUGGAUUGGCCGCUCUUUUAUAGUAGCUAUCAGCACUCCACCGAAUUAUGCGGUUUUUCAAAUUCGGAAAAUCUUCUUCGCCUGCAACAGAGUUUGAGAGGAAAUGCUAAAGAAGCCGUGAGCAGUUUCCUGUUGCACCCUUCGACGGUUCCGGAAGUAAUCGAGACGCUUAAAACUUUAUUUGGUCGACCGGAACAGAUCGUACAUCACAUGGUCAACAAGGUACGCAGUACUCCAGCCCCGAAAGAACACCGAUUAGACAUGCUGAUGAAUUUUGGAUUAGUUGUACAAAACAUGUGUAGCCAUCUUAAAGCCGUAGGAUUGCAGAACCAUUUAUCUGACCCUACUCUGCUCAAGGAACUCGUAGAUAAAUUACCACCUACAGCUCAAUUCAACUGGGCGUUGUAUCAGACGCAGUUCCCGCUCGUAGAUCUUAAUGUAUUCUCCAAAUACAUGCAAUACAUAACUACCGCCACCAGCCGCUUAGUAAUGAACGGCGGAAUCAACAAUGCAACAUCAAGAAGCAAGGGAAGAGAAUUUGUUCACACGCACGCUGAAAUCGUCGAUGACUCGGAACAACCCGAAUCGAGUCAAACAGAACAGCUGAACCAUGUUGCACUGAAACCAUGCGUCGCGUGUCAAAAAUUCGCUCACCCAUUAGAAAAAUGUUUCAAGUUCCAAAAUAUGAGUACAGAUGAACGUUGGAAGCUAAUUAAACAAAACAAUAAGCUCUGUAGACGCUGUCUUGUGGCCCAUAGUAGGUGGCCGUGUAAAGGAGAAGUUUGCGGGAUAAACGACUGUUCGAAGAAACAUCAUCGUUUAUUACAUUUCGAUCCACAAGAGAGUACAUCUGCGAGACAACAUGCCACCGUGUCUAUACAUCGUGAGGUUACAUCAUCUAUUCUCUUUCGCUUGCUACCGGUAACGCUUUUUGGUAGCAAAGGCAAUGUGCAAACCUUUGCAUUUUUGGACGACGGAUCUUCUGUCACGAUGUUAGAGGAAUCGCUAGCAGACGAACUAGGUGGCGACGGAAUUACAACGUCGCUUUGCAUCCAGUGGACUGGGGGAGUAAACAAGAACAUCUCUAAUACUCGAAUUAUGGAAUUUGAGAUAGCUGAAACUAGCGACGCUAGGCGUCAUAAACUAUCAGAAGUAUACACUGUUGAGAGUCUUGAUCUACCUGAACAAAGUUUGCAUUUCGACAGAAUGUCUCAAGAAUAUCCACAUCUACAAGGUUUACCAGUAACAAGCUAUGAAUCUGCAGUGCCGAGACUACUCAUCGGACUAAAUAAUGCUCAUUUGAUUAUGCCAUUGAAAGCCAGAGAAGGCAGACAGGGUGAGCCAGUUGCUACCAAAACACGGAUUGGGUGGUCAAUCUUCGGUCGUGUACCACGAAGAGCGAAUACGUUGCCCCAUCACCAGUUACACAUCUGUGCUACAAAAUCUGAUGACAAUUUACACGAAUUUGUUAAAAACUUCUUCUCGAUCGAAAGUUUGGGCAUACGAGCUGCCCCAGAGUUGCAGACCCUUGAAGACCAACGAGCUUAUAAAAUAUUAUCUGAGACAACAAAACGAACAUCAAGUGGCCGAUUCGAGGUUAGUUUAUUAUGGAAAUAUAAUUACAUUGAAUUCCCCGACAGUCGACCGAUGGCUGAGAAACGCUGGAAAUGUUUGGAGAGAAGACUUACGAAAAAUCCUGCCCUGUAUGACAAAAUUCGUCAACAGAUUGCAGAUUAUCAGCUUAAAGGUUAUGCGCAUAAAGCCACCCAGGCCGAAUUUGAAAGUUUCGAUCUUCGCCGUACGUGGUUUUUACCCAUGGGGGUAGUGCUGAACCCAAAAAAGCCUGAGAAGGUGCGGCUAAUAUGGGACGCAGCUGCUAAGGUCGAUGGUGUAUCAUUAAACAGCAUGCUCAUGAAAGGUCCCGAUCUUCUAACAUCUCUUUUAUCUAUACUUUUUCGGUAUCGAGAGCGUGAAGUAGCCAUUGCAGCGGAUAUUAGAGAGAUGUUUCACCAGAUAUUGGUGCGCCCUGAAGAUCGUAGUGCCCAGUUGUUUCUAUGGCGAGAUUCUCCGGACAAACCCUUGGACAUCAUGGUGAUGGAUGUGGCCAUCUUUGGUGCUACGUGCUCGCCUGCACAUGCACAGUUCGUGAAAAAUCUAAAUGCGGCAGAAUAUCAACGAGAUUAUCCGAGAGCAGCGGACGCAAUCACACGGUGGCAUUACGUAGACGACUACGUACAAUGCGUUGACACGGUCGAGGAAGCGGUGGAGUUAGCCUUGCAGGUGACAGAAGUCCAUUCUAAAGGUAAAUUUGAAAUUGUUAAUUGGAUUUCAAAUCGCAAUGAAGUUCUACAACAAAUCGGUGCCAACAACCCAACAGUUGUUAAGAACAUGCAGUUUGGUGAUGAGUCAGAAGGCCAACGUUUGUUAGGGAUGAUUUGGCAACCAUCCUCUGAUGUGUUCUCUUUUCCAGUACAAUUUAGCAAAGAGAUUGCAGAUUUAAUUAAUUGUGAAACUGUUCCAACAAAACGGCAGUUAUUGAAGCUAGUUAUGAGUUUGUAUGAUCCCUUGGGUCUAAUUUCUGCUUUUACGAUCCACGGAAAAAUAAUUAUUCAGGAGGUGUGGCGAGAGAAAGUUGCAUGGGACGAUAAAAUACCUGAAGAGAUUUUCACCAAAUGGAAACUGUGGCUCAGUGCAUUACCUGGUAUAGAAUGUUUAAAGAUUAAACGAUGUUACUUUCCCGGAUACACAAAAAACACGUAUGACAACGUUCAGCUGCACAUAUUUGUCGACGCGAGUGAGCAGGCGUAUGCAGCUGUAGCCUAUUUGCGAGUCGUAGAAGAUAAUAAGGUUCGAUGUGCUCUGGUAUCCUCGAAAACAAAGGUUGCACCGUUAAAGAUUUUAUCUAUUCCUCGUCUUGAGCUGCUUGCGGCCUUGAUAGGAGCUCGACUGAGAAAGGUUAUAGAAGAGGAACACACCCUCACUAUCCAUGAAGUCCUUUUCUGGAGUGACUCAACUACAGUACUGUCAUGGAUACGGUCAGAUAUGCGUCGCUAUAACCGAUUUGUAGCUCAUCGAAUCAAUGAGAUACUUGAAUUAUCCAAAAUUGAAGAAUGGAGAUGGGUCCCCACACGCCUUAAUGUCGCUGAUGAGGCUACGAAGUGGGGAAAAGGACCUUCGUUUGACGCUGAAAGUCGAUGGUAUAAGGCACCGGAAUUCCUCUACGAGCUGGAUGAAAACGAAUGGCCGAAAGAUCGUAUCGUCUACGCUGAAGUUAGUAAAGAAGAGUUACGCAUCGAUAGUGUCCAUGCUCAUGUGGCACGAGUUCCUAUAAUCGACAUCAACCGCUUUUCUAAGUGGGAACGCCUUCUGCGCGUGACGGGCUACGUUCAUUACUUUGAAGACUGUUAUUUGAAGAAGUUUCUGGGCAAGCAGAUCAACACUAUUGGUAUGAAUAGCGAUCACUUGAAGAGGGCUGAGCGUGCAUUGUGGAGAAUUGCACAAAAUGAUUCCUUUCCGAAAGAGGUAGAUAUACUCCGACAUAAUAAUCAAACGAGCGUUCCGAACAGGAGAAAGAUUUCAAAAUCUAGUUCCAUAUCUUCCAUGGGCCCAACUAUCGACGAGUUUGGUGUGAUUCGCGUAGAUGGUCGAAUGCAGGCGGCUGAUUGGAUGGAAUAUGAUGCUAAGUACCCGAUCAUCCUACCCAGAGAUCAUAGGAUCACUUACCUUGUACUGGAUUGGUAUCAUCGAAAUUAUGGGCACGCGAAUGAUGAAACUGUCGUCAAUGAGCUUAGGCAACGAUUCAGAAUACCGAGACUACGAGUCGAGUUGAAGAAAGUCAAAAAAGCAUGUCAAUGGUGUAAAGUCUACAAAGCGUCACCUGUAGCGCCGAAAAUGGGUCCGCUCCCACGCGUAAGACUCACACCGUUUGUACGUCCAUUCACCUUUACCGGAAUCGACUACUUUGGACCAUAUCUGAUUAAAAUAGGAAGAAAAGCGGUCAAACGAUGGGUAGUGCUCUUCACCUGUUUGACUUUGAGAGCGGUUCACCUCGAAGUUGCUGCCAACAUGUCAUCCGAUUCAUGCAAAAAAGCUAUCCGUAGAUUUGUCGCACGUAGAGGAGCUCCUGAGGAGAUUUACACGGACAACGGAACAAAUUUCCUAGGCGUUAGUCGUGAACUUAGAACGGAACUGAAAGCGAUCAACAACGAGCUGGGUAGUACAUUCACCGACACCAGAACCCAAUGGUAUUUCAUACCACCAGCGGCACCCCACAUGGGCGGAUGUUGGGAACGGAUGGUCCGAUCCGUAAAAACUGCUUUGAAAUCGGUCCCUACGGUUGAUAAAUUCGAUGAAGAAUCCUUCCUAACGGUUCUAAUUGAAGCUGAACAUAUGAUAAAUUCUAGACCGCUGACAUUCAUCCCUAUUAGGUCGGAAAACGAGGAAUCUUUAACCCCCAACCAUUUUUUGAUGUUGGGGUCCAAAGGAGUACGGCAGGGUGUUAAAAGGCCUAUCCUGAAGGGAACGGUUAUAAGGUGUAGCUGGGACCUUAUUCAACGAGUUUUGCAAAUCUUUUGGCAGCGAUGGGUGGUGGAAUAUUUGCCGACCAUUACAAGACGAACAAAGUGGUUUGAAGAUGUUCGUCCAAUCAAUGAUGGGGAGUUAGUAGUAAUUGCCGAUGAGGGUGCGCGUAACCGAUGGAUCAGGGGUCGAGUGAUUAAGAUGUAUCCAGGAAAGGACGGUGUAUCCCGGAUGGCAGAUAUACAGAUAAGCGGUGGAGUUUUGAGUCGUCCUUGUACUAAACUUGCGCUUUUGGAUGUAAAGUGAACAUGACGCCGAACGGAACGUUCUUUCGACAUGCGGGGGAGGAUGUUGUGCACAAGCUAGCCCCUCGGACGACCCAGAAACAGCUUUGACAGUAAUUUGAUAACAGUGAUAAGGAGGCGUCGCGACGCCGCAUAUUCGAGAUAGGUUGUCAGAAAAUUUUGCAAGUCAUUAUUAACAAUCGUCAUUGUAGAGUACCAGCACGUUUCAAGUAUUAUAUUUAAAGAUCUUUAUUUGCCAAAUUAAUAAACAAUAUUUGUAUAGUUCUAGUUGAAAACGGAGCGUAUUAACCGAAGUUUGGUUCGUGAAAUACAAAUUGUAGUAGGAGAUUAAAUUUUUGAGCUUGAAGCAAUAUAAAACCGGCGUUAUUCUUGCUGAAAAACUCCAGGAUCAAUUUCACGAACAAAAAUUGUGACAGCAGUCAGUGUUGCCAGUUUUGAUAGCUAAGUUUUUCCGUGCUUUCGAUGCC